UCAUUCUGGAUGGUAGUGUAUUGGACUACCAUGGCGAUCACGGGUAACGGGGAAUUAGGGUUCGGUUCCGGAGAGGGAGCCUGAGAAACGGCUACCACAUCUAAGGAAGGCAGCAGGCGCGUAAAUUACCCAAUCCUGACUCAGGGAGGUAGUGACAAGAAAUAACAGACCGGUUCCCUCUGGGAUCACGGGAUUGUAAUGAGGACAAUGUAAACAACUUCACGAGAACCAAUUGGAGGGCAAGUCUGGUGCCAGCAGCCGCGGUAAUUCCAGCUCCAAUAGCGUAUAUUAAAGUUGUUGCAGCCCCAAAGCUCGUAGUUGAACUUCUGGCCGGAGGCUACAUUCUCUCUGAGAUAGUGGUUAUAUCUAGGCCAUCCUCUCGGGAACCAUAUGCUCACUUAAAUGGGAGAUGUGCGGAACGGGAUCUUUACUUUGAAAAAAUUAGAGUGUUUCAGGCAGGCUUACGCCCGAAUAUUACAGCUGAGAAUAAUGGAAUAGGACUGGGUCCGUUUUGUUGGUUUUUACAGGAUUCAGAAAUGAUUAAAAGGGACAGUUGGGGGCAUUAGUAUUUAAUUGUCAGAGGUGAAAUUCUUGGAUUUAUUAAAGACUAACUAAUGCGAAAGCAUUUGCCAAGGAUGUUUUCAUUAAUCAAGAACGAAAGUUAGGGGAUCAAAGACGAUCAGAUACCGUC
rnacentral:rRNA from 1 species